CGGCGUCACGUGGCCGGCCAGCCCUGCGCACGGUACGACAUGGCGGCCCCGCCCUGCGCACGACGUGGCCGCCCUGUGUAGCCGCGCGGUGCGGCUCCUCCGUGUGGAGGACGGGGCGGCUGGGGCCGGCUUUACCUUGUGUGGAACUCAUCUUCGGCCCGGUUUGGGCUGUGGCUGCGGGUUUUCUCGGAGAUGUACCUCAGCGCUUGGGGCUGCUCCGCAGGGGCUCUCAGUAGGGAACAAAGUUUGUCAUCCUGAGACACCAGACCUUUGACGAAGCGCAGGUAACCUAUGACAGUGCGUGCGGCGCUAACAAAGAGUCCCUGUCAGCCUUUGUAGAAGACUUUGAGACUUCAGUCAGCGUUGACUUUCCAGAAGAUGAGGAGCGUGUUGGUGAAGUGCUGGGCUGUGGUUCCUCGGAUCCCUCAGUUCGUGGAGGAACAGAAGAAGCUCGGCGUGGAGAUGAAAAGAUGACAGAAGCAGCAGAAUCCCAGAAGUUGCGAUCACACAGGCAGAUGAGGCCUUUCCUGGUCUUUUUUCCCUGUUCUGCUGAAUCCUGAUGAACCUGAAUGCUGCCUGUUGGCAUUGGGAUAGGGAGAGCCACCCAUGCAGACCCAGAUGCUGUGAUCUCACUUUUCUAAGACGGCACUCGACUGGGCAGUGAAGCACGGCAAUCUUGAGAUGGCAGAGAUGGUCGCCAAAGCAGGCGUCGAUGUCAAUGCUAAAUCGGCCCAGCCUGCAGCAGAGGAGCCAGCGCUUGGCCUUCCAGCACGUGUGGCCCCUGCAGCCUGUGUCCUGUGGACACCCCAGCAACCCAACAGCCCACAGCAAUCCGACAGCCUGCGCUCCCGAUCCCUUCCGUUCCACUGCGCAGCUGUAAGCGAGGCACUGCUGGGCACCUUCACAGCCAGAUGGUGUGGCCGCACGCCGGUACUGCCUCCAUCAUUUCCCAUGGAAGCUGAAAUGCAGACCAUGAGAGAGUACUCCAGGGGAAGUGCUGGAUACCCCAAGCAUGAAAAGGAGGGGAGCAACAGCCUCGCAUUCUCACAGGACCCUCCUACUGCACCAGCAAACUGUAUAAAGAAAAUGCCUUCUGGUUUGUUUGGCUGCCUCCCACUGCUGUGCCAAUCCACUGGCAUGAACUCUAAGGAUCCCUGCAAAAAGCUCUUAUGCUAAACAGCAUAACACAGCUGACUUUCAAGGAGCACUUAACAUCAGCUUAAUCGCUCAGGACCAUACCAGUACCUACACAGUCUUGUGUCAGAAGGGCAGGCAUCUAUUCAUAAGGGAAUCUGCUCUUCCCAUCGGGUAGACCGAAUUGAAGACACUAAGUAUUGAUUGGAGGAAUUCUUAGGUAUAAAAUCAGUGUCUAAAUGUGUCUAACAAGAGUUUGAAUUGCAAACAUUAACAAUAUUAAUGCACUUAAUUUUAUCUAGUCCUAGCCAGCUUAUUUUCUGGGAGGUUUCUUGGUUUUUGUGUACUGGCACUGGAGAACUGGAAAGCAAAGACCCACAUAGCACCCAUCGCAGCUUAUUACAGAGGGUAAACAGCCAGUGUUAUUAGUAGAUGAGGAAAGGUAGAUCAAUAUAAAGAAAUACUGCUCUCAUUCACUAUUCCCUUUGUCACUGCCAGGCCUCAGAAUUUUUCAGUUCAUUGAUGUCAGUAAGGAUUUACGUGCCUGCCCAAGAAGCUGGUGCCAGAUUAUUCCCAGGCUGCAGCAGAUCCUGAUCAGCAUGUAAGCUGGCUUGGGCAGCUGCACAAGGAAACAAAAUUUAAGAUCACAGCAACUUAAAAUACUGCUCGACUUUAUAACAUCAACAUUGGUAUCAGGGAACAUGGCAACAAAAGUGACCAAAAAGCAUCUCCUUUUGCUGUAAUGCUUAGCGAAUAUAUCAGGCUGGUUAGACAGAGGGCAUGUAAUGUUUUUCAUUAGCUGAAUGAGCACCUAGCUCAAGCCAAGUCUGAAGGCUUUUGGAAACACUUUAUUCACAGGGGGCAGCUUGGGGGUUAAACAAUGUUUAGCAUAUUCCCUUCCCUACAUUAUUUCACGUGCAGAGCUGCUUCCUCUUUGACAGCAUCAGGAGCCUAUCCUUACAUACCCUAAUGGUCUCAUGCCUUCAGCACGCUGUGGCUUACACCCGCAUACCUCCUUGUUGCUGUUAUCACCAAUGGUUUCCUCAAUGGAAAUAAUCAUGCACAUUACAACUGUUGCCAAAACCCUCUGGCACCAGAAUCACUCUCGGAAGGAAAGCCUGAAGGCAUGUGAGGGCCUGAGCAGCUGUAGCUGCAGUGAGGUAGGUCAGCAGUACUACAUGGGAAACCAUGCAAGAGGAAAGCUACAUGCUGCCUUAGUGUUUAACAGCAGCCAGAGUUUGGGGUCUGAUUCUGCUGGGGUUUCAGAACGAAACCUGAAUGCUGGCCUGUGCAAAUUCCUCUGUUCACGGUUUCAUGUCCAUACGCACACACCGACAAUCCAUCAUGAGGUCCCAUCGCUGCAUCUGUGUGCCUUCGUGGAGACUGCAAAGGUUUUGCAUGAGUUCAAAUACGAAAAAAAAGUCAUUUUUCACACAUUCUAAUUUCAGAUAUGACUGUAAGUGUUCUAAGCCUCUUUGUAUAUUUAAACAUUUUUAGUGAGUUAAAAAACAAACAAACUAUAUCUGUUACAUUUCUGCAGUUAGAUCAUGUAACUUGACUGCCUGACAAAGCAUCAGCAGUAUGAGGUCCUUUAUGGGUCACAGCUGAGCCAGAUUUUACGCUUAAGAAUUUCCUCAUUUUGGACCAGAAGUAAAAAAAAAAUCUUCUUCUGGGCAACACCCAUGAGCCCACGUCUGGAAAAAAGAAGUGAAAUGUGAGCAGAAAGCCCCCAAAUAGCCUGGGUGUCCCUCAGACAAAGCAGAAGAAAAGUAAAAUCACAGCUCUGUUCUUUGGCUGUGGGGCCACUUGUCCCACCCCAAAAGCGGGCAAAGAAGCAAAACCCCCCGACAGCAGUCAGGGAGGUGUUGAGAAGGCCAUCCCAAGGGACUUGGGGACAGUGCUUGUCCCCACGGGGCUUGGAGCAGAGGGACCUCACAGAAAACAGCCCGGCUCCAGGGCAACCCCCAAAAUGCUCUGCAGCCCCCAGAUGCUAUGCUGCUGCAGACGGGCAAGGGAAUUGUUGGCGUGCCACCGCCUGCUCGCUGUGUGGUCCUGCCCAGGGAGACAUCCCAGUGGCUGCCAGGAAUGAGGAAAACUAGCGUGUUUUUGUUUUGUUUCCUUUUAAAUAAACUCGCCGUCCUUAAUCUGGCAGGCUGGAGUCCAGGCUCGACAGGCCAAUGAGUAAUGAGGUGCGAGGGAAGACAGGAUGUGGAAUUAGGAGGUCAGGGCUGAAGGUUGCCCCAAAUUUAAUCUCUACCUCUCCUUCUCCAUGUGCCACUGCUGACCAUGGUGCAGAUGCACACUCACCAGCGAUGUCCUACAGCCCCAUAUCCAAGCAGGGCCAAUGCAGGAGGAGUCUGGAGCUAGGGCUUCCCUCCCUGCCCUCUCUGGUAGGCUGUGCCCGCAGCAGAGCCUUUCCCUGCCUUCCAGAUGCAACGGUUCAGAAGCUCAGGGGCAGUCAAGUUCACCCCGUGGCUCUGCUGACACUCAGUGUUACCUCACUGAGCUCAUCACCACUUGGGUCCCUACCAGCAAACAUUAAUUUCCUUCCAGUACCCUUGCCAACCUUUCAGCCUAGCUUAAGCUGGACUUUAGCUUGAGAAAACCAGACUUAUUACCACGUGCUAAAGGCAAUAAGUAAUUUUUUUCCUGCUGCAUGCAUUAUUGGCAGAGUUUGUGACCACGGCUGAAUUACAGCCAUGCAUGCGCUCCACAUGCAUUUAUUCAUCAUCUAAAUUAUUUUUGGCAGCAAAUAAGAGAGUGUGCUGAUUAAAAUUUAAGAGUUAUCUCAACAAGCAAAGGAUUCCUUCACCAGCUCACCUUGGCUCGGGUGUCCUUCUGGCCACCAACUGUUUUUAACAUGCAUCAAGAAGCAGAGCGUGGCCAGCAAACGCAGCCGAAUGGGGACUGCUGGUGGCCAGGGUGGUCCUGUGCUGUCCCUCAAGGGUGGCCAUAAGGAAGGCAUCGGCAUUGGUGGCACCAGGAGGAAGUACUGCUGGCUGUUCAGUGAGGUUUUGUGCUAGUGCAGGGCGGUGAAGUCAGUACUUCAGUGAUGUUUAUAUCCCUUUGGCUCAGUACCACUUCAACUUAACCACAUGUUUAAGAGCAUUUUUGGACAGAAGUGCUUUCGCGGUCCGUAGCUGUGAGAGCAGUGAGAACAACUCUUGCCUUUUCAGGUGGGCAGUUGGAAAGCAGAUUAAAGUGCUUGGAAGGCAAAGGAGAGCAGCUUUGCAUUUUUAAAGCAGCACUUUGAAAGAGGGGCAAGUGUAAAAGUUUAAUUAUAGGGUUUCCUUGACAGGGAAACAACUCAGUAGUCAUUGUGUGCGUGUUGUCAAACAGCACAGUCUCUAGCAAAUCCAAAUAAGAGCAGAACAAGAAAAUAAGAAGACCAGAAGUUCACAGUGGCUCAUGCUCAGUUCUGCUCUGACAAAAUAUUUUCCACUGUUUAGUAUAAUGCCUGGUGUAUAUUGAUGCGUAUUGAUUUUUCAAUCUGGCGCUUUAAUUAGGCUCUAGUUGUUCAACCUUGCACCUUUGCUGCAUUAGAGAGUGAAAACAGACGGUAUUUCUUCUCUAGGAGCCUUGAACAGCGAAGCAGAGCAAGGCUGGAGGAAAAGCCAGCAGAAUAUUGACGGGGAAUCUAAAUAUCUCAAAGGCAAAAAGUUGCAAAUCUAUGUUUAUCAUUUUUUAACAAGAGAGGCGAAACACUGCAAUACUAAUCUUGAAAUCUAUGUUAAGGUCAGUUGGAAGUGAAAGAAAUUAACACUCUACUGACAACCGAACUGUUGUUUCUUUGAAUGGCUGAUGACCCUGUCUAGUCUACAGUGUUGUUAAAAAUUUAUUAACUAGCUCAAAUGCCUAUUGACUAG